ACUGAAGUACUAAAUCCAUGUGACAGUUAUAUGCAUUUGCAUUUCAGAAAAUUCAUUGACUAAAGAACAAAAGAGUGUUGAUGAAGAAGUGGAAGAAGACAUUAUUGACUUAAACCUCAGUGAUGAAACGUCAUUCGCCCCAGGUAGCAGCUAUGUGGACAUGAGCACUAGUCCAACUGAGGUUCAGUUGGAGCCAGAAACGUCACAAAAUAUGGAAAACCCCCAGAAAAAGGAAACAUUCUUUGGUAUGA